AACGAACGCUGGCGGCAGGCCUAACACAUGCAAGUCGAGCGAAGCCUUCGGGCUUAGCGGCGGACGGGUGAGUAACGCGUGGGAACGUGCCCUUUGGUACGGAAUAGCCCCGGGAAACUGGGAGUAAUACCGUAUGUGGUCGAGAGACGAAAGAUUUAUCGCCAAAGGAUCGGCCCGCGUUGGAUUAGGUAGUUGGUGGGGUAAUGGCCUACCAAGCCGACGAUCCAUAGCUGGUCUGAGAGGAUGAUCAGCCACACUGGGACUGAGACACGGCCCAGACUCCUACGGGAGGCAGCAGUGGGGAAUCUUAGACAAUGGGGGAAACCCUGAUCUAGCCAUGCCGCGUGAUCGAUGAAGGCCUUAGGGUUGUAAAGAUCUUUCAGUGGGGAAGAUAAUGACUGUACCCACAGAAGAAGCCCCGGCUAACUCCGCGCCAGCCGCCGCCGUAACAC
rnacentral:rRNA from 1 species